rnacentral:rRNA from 1 species
AUUGAACGCUGGCGGCAUGCUUUACACAUGCAAGUCGAGCGGCAGCGCGGGGGCAACCCUGGCGGCGAGCGGCGAACGGGUGAGUAAUGCAUCGGAACGUACCCUGGAGUGGGGGGAUAACGCCGCGAAAGCGGCGCUAAUACCGCAUAUGCUCUGAGGAGGAAAGUGGGGGACCGCAAGGCCUCACGCUCUGGGAGCGGCCGAUGUCCGAUUAGCUAGUUGGUGGGGUAAAGGCUUACCAAGGCGACGAUCGGUAGCUGGUCUGAGAGGAUGAUCCGCCACACUGGGACUGAGACACGGCCCAGACUCCUACGGGAGGCAGCAGUGGGGAAUUUUGGACAAUGGGCGGAAGCCUGAUCCAGCCAUGCCGCGUGAGUGAAGAAGGCCUCGG